rnacentral:lncRNA from 10 species
AUAUCUCUGAGAUCAAGAUGCGUCAUGUAACCAAUGUUCCUUUCACGAGGAUGUAUUGGCACAUGCCAAUAAAAGAAUAAUGUCGACCAUCAAAAGUUGUAAAGUGAGAAUCACCUACAACUGAGCAUUGAACUGCCAAAAAAAAAAAGAAAACAAAGAAAAAGAAAAGGAGGUGGAGAUAGAGGAGGAGAGAGAGGAGGAUGAUACCAUUAGGUUAAUCCUUUAAAAGCAGAUCAACUUAGGGUAAAUAAUCAUGCAUCAAAACUUUGAAAAUCUACUGUGUUGUAUUUAAAAUUUACUGGUUUGACAAACUUACUAGACUAAAUUAUAUUAUCCCAUUUAAUUUAAUGUUUAUAAAAUGAUAUUUAUUCCACAUUUUUUAGGUUUUAUAACAUUUACACUAUUUUAAUAAAGUUUUACCAAAGUUGCCCACUCAAUGCUAUCACUUGUUCAAUUUUCCAUGUAUCCUCUGAGUAAUUGCAUUUACAGAUUAUUGUAGCCCUUGGUAUAUAUGAGAUGUCUUCAUAAAGAUCAGUGCUAUCUUUCUCCCCAGUCUAAAGAAAUUUGAAACAUUCUCUAUAAAAACAUUUUAAAAAAUUACCUGGACAGUCUUGCUCAGUGCAGUUCCAAACUCCACCAACACACACACUAAAAGAAAUUAUAAAAAUAUUAAUCUAUUGGCAUAGAGAAACUGUAUUAAUGUUUGCAUCAAUGUAUUGAUUAAUGGACCAAAAUAUAUCAUGUUUAUAGGUUCAGAAUAAUCUGACUUAAAAAAAUCUCUGCAAAAA